rnacentral:lncRNA from 1 species
ACACAUUCUCGUAGAGGAGGUCGAAGAGGACUCUAAGAAGCCAUUCCCUGAGCACAAGCCGCCAAAGAAAGGCGAGGAGCCAAAGAAGGGAAAGGGAGAGAAGCCGCCCCCGAAGCACAAACCAUCCCACGAGGGACACAUUCUCAUAGAGGAGGUGGAAGAGGACUCAAAGAAGCCAUUUCCCGAGCACAAACCGCCCAAGAAAGGUGAGGAGCCGAAGAAGGGCAAGGGAGAAAAGCCACCACCAAAGCACAAGCCACCACACGAGGGACACAUUCUAGUAGAGGAGGUGGAAGAGGACUCAAAGAAGCCUUUUCCUGAACACAAGCCGCCGAAGAAAGGCGAGGAGCCGAGGAAAGGCAAGGGUGAGAAGCCGCCGCACCACAAGCCACCACACAAGCCUCCCACCGAGAACUGAGUAUGCGUUCUACAAUGAAUGUAUAUGUCGUGUGCUUUUCACGGGUUCAAAUAAGAGCUGGUCCAUAGAGUGUCUGGCACUACCGUGUUAGCUGGUUCGCCGUUUGUGCUCCAUGCGAUAUGGGAUGUAUGUACUUUGCUUGGGCAGGUCCUUUGACUUUGUCUAAAUUGAUAUAUGCUGAGUACUUGCUAGCCAUGAGCUUUCCUUUCUAAAACUCUUCUAAGUGUCCCCUUCUGCAAUCUAACCUUGCCAUGUCCCGCGAGCACGAAAAGUUUGUUCAUACUCCUAAACCCUCCGCAAACAUAGAUGCACGGCUGGAAUCAGAUUAAUAAUUAAUGAAAGACGUAAAAUAGAAAGUUGAUUUGCACUAUUCAUUCGAAAAAGUCAUGCGGAAAGUAUUUAUUGGCAUGCUUAGAUAGGACUUGCUUAUUCAGAAAAGACAGCAGAUUUUCAUCCAAACAGGUGUACUAAGUACAGCUUUAAUCCAAAAAGCUUGGUUUGAUUAUCUAAGAUCUAAAAAUGGUGAUCAACUGCUUCUGACUCCCUUGUGAAGUAUGAGAAGUAAUAAUGAAUUUUUCGACAUAAUGAUAGUUGUACAUACAUGAGAUGAUAACAAUGGAUUGUAGCGAAAAUAUUGAUUCGAAUUGGAUAGAAUACUGAAGUAAGAUCUUUAGAGCUAUCAAGCCAGACUUUAAGGUAUUAUAUUACUUUCUUUGAAGAUUUAUUUGCUUCACAAUUGUUAUUAAUGGUUAUCAGCAAAUUUUUUCCAAGAUAUAAUAAAGUCCUAAAUGAGAAUACUAGAUAGUAAUUCUAAUAUUUCUUCAAGGUCUCUCUAUAAAACAUUUGGAGAAGAUGAUUAUAUAUCUUUUGAAAGAAAACAAAAAUGGGAAGAGAAAGAUUGUGAAAAGACUUGAAAGUUCUGCAAAUAAUUGAAUUGAAUAAUUAUAUUUGAAUGGAUACAACCUUUUAAAGAUGAAGAAGUUAUUUCCAAGCAAACACAAUGUUUCAAAGGUUGUAAGAGUGCCUAAUAACUAUUAGGCAAAAAUAAUAAAUUCUAGUUUAAAUAAUUAAAAAGUAAGGUCGCUCUAUUAUGAACAAUGACACUAUUUCAAUAAGAUGCAAAAAUUAUUUUAUUAUUAUAAUUUUUUUUUGGUGACCCAGGAUCCGCCGAACCCGACUUUCGUUUACGCCAAUUGUUAGCCCACGGCUUGUAUAGUGCGCGGUGCACCUUGGACCAAGAAUCAAUACCUGGGUGGGGAAGCUAACACAUGACCCACCACCAUGGCCCCCACUUAAGACAUGUUAGCAGCUGUGGAGUUUCGACUCUAAAACCUUUGCGUGCCUAAAAUCGAACCAACUCAGCUACCCACAAGUGGGUGUUAUUUAAUAAUUAAAGAAUUUUAAUUUUAAUGAAUAAAAAAUAAUGAUUGUUAAUUAGUGCAAAAUCUCAUUCACAUACGCACUCACGUUGACAAGGCACCUCUUAGUUUGUUUUACAAACAAACUACAAACAUAGAUGAAUUAGAAACAUCAAUUUUUUUCUAUUUAGAUAACUACUAAAGACUGUUAACAGAACCGUAUUAUUCUAAAUAGAUACUUACCGACGACCAAAAGCUACACUACACGUCCCAACAGAUUGAUCCGAUUUUACUUUUUGAAGAUAUGCUUCAAUUGACGUUUGACAAUUUGGCCAUCCUAAAUAGAUACCUACCGACGACUAAAAGCCACACUACACGUCCCAACGUAAUGAUCCGAUUUUAAAAAACUGUAAAAAGGAGAAAAAAAAAAGGGCCUUUUUGUGUAUAUUUCGGGAGAAGGAAAUAACAUAAGUCAAAUUAAGAAAAAAAAGGGUUAGUUCCACGUACAAUCUGGAAAAAGUUUGUGAUUACUCAUUUUUGUGUGUUUAAACUUAUGUUUCUGGCCUUAUCCUCACUUGGGGGAUUUUGAAAAUUGAAUCUAUGGAUAUUUAAAGGUGGAUGGGCAACAUACUGUUGGUAAUUUGUUUAUAAAACAAAUUGAGAGGUGCCUUGUCCCACAUCGAAAAGAUGUGAGUGCGCACGUGGACGAGAUUUGGCAUUAACCAACGAUCAUUAUUUUAUUUAUUGAGAAAAUUCGGAUUUAUUUAUAUAAAAUAUUAACUACAAAAUCUUGUUGAAACAGUGCAACUGUUCAUGAAAAGUUACAAUUAUUUAUUAUUUAUUAUUUAUUUAAUUCCGAAUUUUUAUAUCUUUUCAACGUAACCUUUGAGACGUACUUUUUCACGAAAGGUUAUCUUUGUUCUUUUGCAACCUUUUGAAGAGUUGCCUUUAUUCGAAAGAAAAAGAUAAAUACGUUUGUUUUGAGAUCAAACACACAUCUUCUUCCAUUUUUUUUCAUUUUCUUUUGAGAGAAACUACAGCCAUUGUUUCUAAUUGUUUCCCAUGAGAGAUCCUGGAGAAAUACUAGAAUUGCUAUCUAGUAUUCUCGUUUGAGACUUUGUUGUAUCUUGGAGGAAAUUUGCCAGUGACCAUUAGCAACGUAGUGGGGCAAAUAAAUCCUUAAAGAAAUAUCACGCCUCAAAGUCCGACUUGAGUACUCUAACGAUCCGACUUCAUUGUUCUACCCAAUACGAAGCCAUAUUUUCCCAACACAAACAAAUUGGGAGCGGCUAUUCGAUUAUAAAAAUGUUACAAGUCGGGGAAAUGGAAAAAUGGAAUUGUGUUAGGAGCAAUGAAGCAUGAAAGCCAGAAGUGGGUCUCUAUUGAUCAAAUUAAAUUUCGUCACGAAGGUAAAGGUUUUUUCUUUUUUUUGGUUAGUAAUAUAGAAGAUUCUAGACUGGUACCAUUAAGUACAUUUACCCCAAUUUAUUGUGGUACUGUUGUUUCAAUUUUACCCUUUAUAACCCUGUUCAAUUUAGGCGUCAAAUGUCUUAUGGGAUUAUAUGAUAAAUCCAUCCACGAUAACUUAGAUGUGAAUUUUACCACAUGAAGCAUUCUAAAAAAAAAUCCUAUUUGCCCUGACCCAUCUUCUUUCUCUAAUCCAUCUGCUUCUUCCCUUAAGACCCCGGCUUCCACGCCUCGCCUUCCUCGGGUGGUGCUCUCACCGGUGAGUACGUUUGAUCUUACAAAGAAAAAAAAAGGUACAAUUAGGUUAUUGCUAAUGCUCAUUCUUUGUCAUUGGGGUCAUUUGGGCACUGUGAGGAUUUUGAUAUAUUAUAUUUUCUUCUAAUCAUGAAUAUUGGAGUCUGUAACUUAGUGGGCGCCAUUAGUGCAAUAGGUAAAAUUUUACUCUUUGCGUGUAUUGUUAAGAUUCGGGUGAGGUCCCUUCAGUCUAGCGAUUGGCUAGAGGAAGAAGAAAGAGGAACAAAAAAUAAAGAGAAAAACAAAGGAAAAAAAGAGAAAAAAAUUACAAAAAAAAAAAAAAAUUAAAUUGUUAUUAAAAUUUGUUUACAUCAAUACUGGCUAUGUCACUUUAGUGCUAGUUAUGCUACAUUAACAGCUGGCUAAAUUUCACUAAAUGGACUGAAUUAGCACAAAUAUAAAAUGUUUAGAACUUAACUAGCCAAAAAAGUUUAGAAUUGAAUUAAUAUAAUUACAAUACAUUUAAGAUUUUUUUUUUUUUUUUGUAAUUCUUCCUUUUUUUCCUUGUUUGUCAAAUGGGUAAUUUUUGUAUAGUACAAGAAGAGUCUUAAAACUUCACAGAAGUAUGAUGUGCGUACCAGAGUAACCUAAAGUGAGUCAAUUGUUUAUGUAGUCAAUGGAAAAUAUAUCUCUAGAGGAAGCUCCAUACUAGAAUGAUGAUUAUUGAGAAAAGGAAAAUUGGGUUGAACCCCAUAUGUUGGAUCGGACUUUUUUUAUCUUGACGUUGGAUUUGCUUCUACUUUUCAAUAAACCAUCAUAGGGGUUCAAACUCAUGUGCACUGCAAAUAUAAUGUGGCAACAAGCACCAUGUACACACAUGGGCUAAUCCCGAAAAGGAAGCGUAUGAACCAAACUAAAUUGUCCGUCUUGAUCAAAUGUAGGCUAUGCAUGCUACAAAAAGGAUAUGAAAUUUAUACAUGCAAAGUACAUGCUUUAGACUAUUUUGACACAUUACGAUUUUAGGUACAAUUUGGUUGACAAAAUGUUAAAUAUAUAUAUAUAUAUAUAUAUAUUUGUAGUUUCGUAUGCAUUUUAGGGUUAUAUUACAGUUACACUUAGAAUGCAAAAAGAAAACUUGACAAAAAUUUUAUCUGUUCAAUUUUCGGUACUUUGUCAUCUAAUCUGUCCUAAUAAACUUAAAAGAGAAAAAAAAAAAAAAGUCGUCAUCAUUCUCCAAGUUGUCCAUGAUGUUCCAUAGAAAACCUUUAUGCAAAUAUCUCAAUCGGUAACUUAAAAGACUAUUGUCUAACCUUAACUCUCUCUCUCUCUCUCGACUCGACCAUUGCCCCAAUUCUUUCUUAGACACGCCACGUCUACAGUAGUGUAGGCUCCUAACUCUCUUUAAGGUCAAUGGACUAGUCGCAUUUGCUUUUUAUUCAAGGAACUUUUUAUUCAACUGCGUCCUUAAAUAAAAAGCAAGAAUAAGAAUCAAUCAGGGGUUUAGGUUUUGCAGUAUCGCGAUCACAUCUCCCUGUCCCCAUCGGCCGAAGAUGCUACAGGCAUAUCCGUGAUUGUUGGUCGCCAUUUCACUGUGGCAAAACAAGAAUAUCGGACGGGUAUUCGCGGGCUUCAUCUCAAACUUUCAACUCUGAUCUCAGAUAAUAAUUGAAGCGACGUUUUGUGUUGUGAAUUGGGAAAUCCCUUCCCACACGAAAGUUGAUAUUAGAUGAGAGUACCGUUGACUUCGAGAAUGUGAAAAUCGCUUGAGAGAGAUGGUUCAGCAUGUCUUCAAUCAGUUGAGGUUGAUCUUUUGCCAUAUGAACCGACAAUCAUGCAUUGAUACAUCCUAUAAUUCCAAAACAGGCUUUGUUAGUAUGACAUUUUUUGGGUUACUAUGAAAGUAAUAACUUGUUGUGAACUACAAACUUUUAAAAGAGUAUAUCCUAUAAUAAUUUAUAAUUAUUUGUUAUUUGAUUGUUUGUGGUCCAUAAAGACUAUUGUUGUCAUAGUAGAUUAAACAUUGUCACUCAAUCAUUUCUCUUCCAGAACCUUGAUUCAUUAAAUUCAACGUAACAUGUAAACAUCAACCUAGAAAUAUAGUUAAGGUUUUCGAGAGGAAAAUUUAAUUGUAUAGGUAAUUUACCAUAACUAAAACUGUUAUUAGGAAAAGCAAAAAUGUUAUUCUUUUUUUUCUUACAUCAAAAGAGAUCAGAAGUAAUAAAUACGGUGUGCUUGUGGUUUGGUUCAUUUUGGUUUGAAGAUCACUUUUAACCCACAAUUCAGUUAAUUGGUUUGAAAAGAAACUCAAUCAAAGCCAAGAUUAUACUAAUGAAAUCAUAGCACAAACGAAUUGAUGGCUUCAGCUUAUAAUAAUUUCAUUUCGUGUAUGUUAAGCGCACACUUAGAUAAGAAGCUUAAACAUCAACUAAGAAUGUCUAAUUAUGUAUUUGAUAAAUGCUAACCAAAGGCUGUUAUUGAGUCGAGUCGUGUCAACACCGUUAUAUACUCAAGCCUAACUCAACCCAAACAUCCAAGGCUCAACACUUGACUUGUACUCUAUUGGGAUUUACAUCUCAAGCUCAAGCUCAACUAGAAUAAAUCUUCAACAACCUCAAGCCUGACUCGACUAUAUUCACUUAUGGAGAUUCUUUUUAAAAUUAUCCCUGUCAAGAAUCAUCCCACAUUGGGACAAAUUUGAAAUGAAUGGUAGGAAUCUUUUUGCUCUCACUUGCAUCAAUCUUCGAAUAUUGCUUUUGCAGUGUAACUAGUACGGUAAUUUGAAGUGCCUUAAGAUGGCGAUGAGUAGUUAUUUAUUUAUCCUACACACUUUCAUCCAUUGCAUAGCCCACUUGAGCCUGCAAUUUCAUUUCUUUAAACUUAGUUGGUGAUCAUCCUCCACACUGGGGCAAAGCAAAAGGUAAAUGAAGACUCUUGAAAGUUUAAGUGUCAUUCAAAGUGUUGCUCGACGCAUGCAUUGUGUGUAAGGAUUGAAAUCAAAAUAGAACUAAGGGGCAUGAAAAAAAAAAGCAGUGUGCCUGGUAAAAGCAAGGCCAAUGCUCAUGAAAAAGAAGUGAAAAAAUGAAUGAGAGCUAAGGGCAUGGAAAAAACAGUGUGCCUGGUAAAAGCAAGGCCAAUGCCUAGAAAAGAGAAAGAAAUCAAACUCUUAAUAUAGUGAGUCAUAUCCCCAACAAUGAGAUACUAAAAGACUCAAAUGCUGUUUCAAUCAAUGAAGUUGUGAUAUGAAAAUCUUCGACAAUGGAGAAGGAAAGUGGUGGAAAUGUCAAGAUGAUCACCAACUUUGACCCCCCUAAACACUUUUUGAGCUUAAUAAUCCUUUCAUUUCUCAACCCAUGAGCCAAGCCUAUGUUACGUCCCUUGCAAAGUCUCUUCAGAUUAUGGCACUUGAAUUAACCUAGGGGUUCACAUGUUUUAAGCAUAACUCGAAGAAGUGCGAACAAGAUUAUUUCUUUCUCAUUUUGCAAGGUUCUUGACUUGUAAACCCGGAAAUGAUUGUGAAGCUGUCCUUUCAAUAGCCUUGACUCAAAGAGUCCCUUUGUUAAGCCGUUGACCAAGCUCACAAUAUAGUCCUUGUUAAAGAUCUCUCAGAUUGGUAAAGUCGUACCACUUGCGAGAAUACUUAGACCCCUAUCGAUAUGGUGAGAUGGAGUGAUUCUCUUUUAAAUGAGAGUGAGAGAAAGUCCUUUCAAAUCGAAAGUUUCUCAUUUGACAUUUUCAAGAUGUCUUCUUGUCUUGGUUAUAACUCUCCACAUGGGAUUCUAGUAAUAAUAGAAACGAGUGAUGAAUGCAUCUACUUGUUAUUACUAACCAUGUUUGAUAGGCAAAUUUCUCAUGAAAGUCAAGCGGCAAUUGGCCCUGAAGCAUUGGGAUUCGUCCAAACUGUUUGGUAACCCAAUCAAUCAAGCCUCCAAGAAAGGAGCCCCAGGUAAGUACCAAAUCUUUCAAAGUACUCAAGGUAAGACUCAGGUAACUCGUCUUCCAAUUUGGAUCUACAUGCAUAAAGAAAACAGAAUUUGAGCAUCUUCUCCAAUCUUCAGAAAUUGAGAGUCUAUGAAUCUCACCAAAAUCUUUCAACCCGAUCUUGACAUCUCAGUCUGAAUCUGGAUGUCUUAAUUCUUUUCAUUGAACAUUUCACUUUGGAUGUGAAUUUUUUUCGAUUUUUCUUGUUAUACCUUAGUUUGGAUCUAGGUAUUUCAAGUUCUAAAAUCUUGACAUCUUAGUUUGGACCUGGAUGUCCUAUUCGUUGAACAUUUCACUCUGGAUGUGAAAGUUUUUCGAUUUUUCCUGUUAUACCUUAGUUUGGAUUUAGGUAUUUCAAGUUCUAAAAUCUUGACAUCUUAGUUUGGACCUGGAUGUCCUAUUCGUUGAACAUUUCACUCUGAAUGUGAAUGUUUUUCGAUCUUUCUUGUUAUACCUUAGUUUUGAUAUAGGUAUUUCAAGUCUCAAAAUCUUGACAUCUCAGUCUGGAUCUGGAUGUCUAAACUAUUUUCAUCUAAACAUUUCACUCUAGAUGUGAAUGUUUUCCAAUCUUUUUCGUUAUGCCUUAGUUUGGAUCUAGGUAUUUCAAAUUCUAAAAUUUUGACAUCUAAGUUUGGACCUGGAUGUCCUAUUUGUUGAACAUUUCACUCUGGAUGUGAAUGUUUUACGAUCUUUUUUUAUAUACCUAAAUUUGGAUCUAGGUAUCUCAAGUCAUAAAAUCUUGACAUCUCAGUCUGGAUCUGGAUGUCUUAAUUCUUUUUGUUGAAUAUUUCACUUUGGAUGUGAAUGUUUUUUGAUCUUGCUCAUUAUAUCUUAGUUUGGACCUAGAUAUUUUGAGUUCCAAAAUCUUGACAUCUCAUUCACGCGACUGUAGAAAGAUGCAAGUCCUGGAAAGUGUUUCCUCAUUUAGGCAACCGUAGAAUGGUAUGGGUCCUAGACACAACCAAACACUGUCAUACUGGGCGACCGUAAAAUGGUACGGGUUCUGGGAAAGUAAUCUCUUUGCGAAGCCAUGUUACUAUUCUGGGCGACCGUAGAAUGGUACGAGUCCUAGACAUGUAACGCCAAUCUAUCUUGAGUUACUCUACCCUCCUCGAAGGUAAGUAAUUCCAGGUAAAGUUCCUUUAUCAUUUGCAUUAGUAUUUUCAUAAAUGACAUAAAUUGCAUUUCAAAAUAGAAUUCAUUUCCCUAUAAAAAAAAAAAAGAAAAAAAAAUGAAGGGAAUUCAUUUUCCAACAAAAAGUCAUUUAGUGCAUGUGCAUGAUCAAAAUUUAGGUCUCAACUUGUCUUUGAAGGCAACCUCUACGAGCUCACCUUCAAAGAGGGGCAGCUGUUGACAUCUAAUUUUAGCAAAUCUAGGAAAAUAAGGAAAAUAAAAAUUUCAUUUGAAUAAAUAAAAGGAAAAAAAUGAAAAAAAUAUGGGAGAAAUUGAUUUGAUUGAUUAUGCACGGAAAUUUGGAAUUCCGAUGAAUAUUCGGAUUUUGUCAAAUGCAGAAGCAAUUUGAUAAUCAAGUGAAUAAAUGGCAAGAAUUUUUACAAAAUAGAAGAAAUCGGAGCAAAAUCGAAUUGAUUGCGAAAUCACGCUCCGAUUUACGGCCUUAAUUUAAUGCGACAGAAGAUGGAAACUUGAAAGUUGCUAUAAAAAUGGCCAUCUGGAAAUCAUUAUAAAAAGGAGCCACAAUUUUCGUGACCAAGGGGGACGAAUUCGAAAAAAUCGGAGACAAAUUCUUGCUCGGUCGAAUUUAAACACAAAGAGGAGAGCUUGUUUUCUUUCUCCUUUCUUACUGUUCAUCUUCUCCGUGGCCUCCUUUUGUUGUGUGACAGACCCCUGCACCGCUGGUCUUCGAGCUGCACCCCCGGCCUCCGCUGCGCCUCGCCGGACUUGCCCCUGACACACUGUAGCAUCGCCGCCGCGCCCGACGCCGUUACCGCGCCCACGCCUCCGCCUGAGCCUCGCUUCGAACGCACCUCUGCCAAUGCCAGCGUCACGCCACCUCUGCCUGUUCGCUGCUGCUGCUACGUCACUACUCCAUGCACCAGCACCCGCAAGCACCACCACGUAGCGACCUGCUACCUGCAGCACCCGUGAGCCCCCUCACUGCUUGACCCGAUGCCCGUGCUUGCACCUCUGCCACGUAGCACUGCCGCCGAUGCCCGCGGUUGCUCCCUUGCAACUCCAUCCGCGCCUCAACCCUCGUCGACGCCCGCGCUCCUCGCCGUUCGCCGCUAAUUAACUUGCAGUGCCGGAUGCUAGAAGACCCGUCGCCGGCCACCACUUGACAACUUGCGACCCACGCCAGUAUCUCCGACUUCGUCGCCUUGCUGUAGCCACCAGUAGCCCCGUCGCCACUCGCCACCGCUCCAGAGCUCCCCCCCCCCCCCCCCCCCCCUCAACCGACGAUGCAUCUGCAUCACUGCGCAACCAGCAGCCCAGACCACAUCCGAUCCCCACGUGGACGCACCGCUGUCGUUUCCCCCUAGGUAGUUUUUAUUUUUACUUUUACUUUUCACCUUUUUAGUCUAGUUUAUUUCUUUGCUAUUUUUAUUUUUCAUGUUAUUUUUCUGUUUAUUUUAUUUGAUAGCAUUUUUUUUAAGUUGAGUUAUUUAAGUUGUAAUAUUGAAUGUUAAUCUUAAAAAUUUUUUAGGCAUUAUCCAUAGGGUUUUGUCCAAAAUUUUUAUAAUUAUUAAUUUGAUCCGAAAGAUGUCGGAUCAUUUUUUAAUUAUAUUAAUUUUUGGAAUUUUUGAUAGUAUUUUAAUAAUUAAAUCAAUAUAAUUAUUAAUUUAAUCCGUAAGACUUUGGAUUAGAUUUUUAAUUAUUUUGAGUUCUUUGUCGUAAUAAUUAGGGUUAGAAUAAUCGUUAAUUUGACCUGUGAAACAACAGGUUAUUUAUUCGAUUAUUUUAAUAAUUUAUUUUGUGGAUAGUUUAGAUUUAAUAUUUAUUAGUUAUCUUAAAAAAAAACUAACAAAAAAAACCAAAAAAUCAAAAAAAUCAAAAUUAUGCAUGAGCAUAUACGUUUAGUAAAUCAAACAUGUAGGUUUAGUAAAUUAGAAUUUUUUUAGGAUUACAUUUUUAGGUUGCAUCUUUAGAAAUAAGUUAGAGUUGGACCUAAAUAAUUUUUUUUUUUAAAAUAGGGUUUUAGAUAAUGUUCGCACAUUUUAAUUAUCUCAUUUUUCCAAAAAAAAAUAUUUUUCUAAGAUAGGAUAGGGUUUAACUCAAAUUAAUCCCUAAAAUAAAUUAGAAAAUUAUUUUUUUUAGAUACUUUAAUUAGGGUUUUUAUUAAUUUUGAAUUUCAAUAAAAAAAUUCAAAAAAUAUUAGGUGCAUGUUAAUUAGUUUGCAUAAUAGGUUGAUUGAAUUAGAAUUCAUUUAUUAUUAAAAUUAGGUCAUGUAGUUAAAAUGCAUGUUUUAUAAAUAAUUCUAAUUUCAAGAAAACCCCCAAAAAAAAAAAAUUUUUGAUUGCUUUGUGUGAUGCAAUUUAUUGAUUUAUUUGAAUGUUUAAUAGUGGAUGAGCAUCUGUGUGGUCACCAUAUUUGUAUGAUAGUAAUUUAGGUUAAAAUAAAUCCAAGCUGCCUGCAAAAACAUUUUUUUAAAUAAAAAGAAUGGUACCGAAAGGGUAUUAGAGAAAUCUCGUGUAACCAAGUCCCCGUACCCAUAAUCUCUGGUUCGUAGGAGUAAAAUAAUUUUUCAAUUAUUUUACUUAGGUGUCUAAUCGACCUACCAUAAAUUGAUUAGUGGCGACUCCUAGAUAAAAUCCAUUUGCAUGUUAAAUAUUUGAACCUUAAGUUGCGAAUUGGUAAGGGCUUGAGAGAGCUCGAGCUAAGUUUAAACACAUAGUAAUCCAUUAACCUAGUUUUAAAUGGUGCACUCAAAAUUUAGGUCGCGACACUUGUGUUCACAAUCACAUUUGACAAUUCCCUAUUCAUAGGUAUGCAAAGUGUUGGAUGAUUUUGUUAUUCUUUCAUCUCAAAAGUUAGCUUAAAGAAAGAGAUUUUUUCUCAUAUUUAUAAAUCGACUACCAACUUCUACAAUCGAAAUUCAAAUAAUCUUAUUCUCACAUAUCGGGCCUUGACUGGAAGCCGCAAUAAUCCGUAACUCAACCUGGGUUCUAAUAAUGAAUUCAGGUGAUUUCGAGCCUUACUCGUCCCAAAAGUUAACUUAAGGAGUGGAGUUUUUCCUCACAUUUAUAUACCAACUACUAGCUUUUUGUACAAUCAAUAUGGAAGAACCCCAAUUAAAGGGUGUAAAAAUUAGAUUUCUACAAGUUCAAUUACUAGUGAAGAAAUUUCAUUGCCCAAGUACCAUAAAAACUAAGCGAAGAGUUAGCGAUGUGUAUGGGACUUGCCUAUUUUAUGCGUUGACAUGAAUUUGAUUCAAACCCUUAAUAUGAUGCAUGGAUCCGUCUUAUGGUGAAUAAUCAGCAUUGGUUCGCUAUUGAUUGAAGCUACUGAACUUUUCGACUUGAACCGAAAUAAUAAGGAAUUUUUUUCAAAUCCACAAUUAUUGGAAAAUGAACCUACGUGAACACUUUUUGGAUUGGCAUAAUAUGUGACAUUUUCACGCAUUAAAAAUCGGUUGAGUUCAAGCAUAAAGCGAAGUUAACAUUUAUCUAAAAGAAGGAUUCGCACAAUGCAAAAUUGGACUAAACGUUGGAUUAAAGAGUGAUAUGGCUAGUAGAAAGCACAAGAGUCCAGAAUAGCACCUCACUUUCUUAUUCAGUGUGCUGUCUCAUAUGCCCCGUCCGACUAAUUCAAUCAGUAGUUGGAAAGCCCAAGUGAGGCCCUAUCAAAAUCAUCGUCGACCUAAGAAAUUUACCGAAAAAAAAAACCAAAUACCGAGUGACGUGCUCGCUGACGACGACAAUAAUCUCAAAACCCCUAUAAAUUGAGACGCUCCCUUCACUCCAGUCCCACACCAUCGGCUCUCUCUCACACAUCCUCUUCUCUGACACUAGUGACACAAUGUCUUCCAGGUACUUGCUAGUUUUGCUCCUGGGAGCGGUGCUUUUCGCCGCUGCCGUCCUCUCCGACGGCCACCACCCUUUAAAAAAAGAGCAUAAACCACACCACAAGCACCACCACAAACUGACAAAAAAAAAAAAAGCACCACCACAAGCACCACCCUGGUGGUCGCCGUCUCAUGGAGACCGUUGAAGCUGAGGACUCGCACAGCCAUUCCCUAAACACAAGCCCCCACACCACGACCACCCUCUCAAGCACAUUCUUGUCGAGGAGGUUGAAAAGGAAGACUCCCACAAAAAGCCAUUCCCCAGCAAGAAACCGCCCCACCACCCCAGCCACUUGCUUGCCGAGGAAGUGGAAGCCGAGGAAAAAAAGAAGCCAUUCCCCGAGCACAAACGCCCAAAGAAAGGCGACAAGCCACCAUCCCACGAGGGACAC